AGCGAACGCUGGCGGCAGGCCUAACACAUGCAAGUCGAACGAAGUCUUCGGACUUAGUGGCGGACGGGUGAGUAACACGUGGGAACGUACCUUUUGGUUCGGAACAACUCAGGGAAACUUGAGCUAAUACCGGAUGAGCCCUUAGGGGGAAAGAUUUAUCGCCGAAAGAGCGGCCCGCGUUAGAUUAGCUAGUUGGUGAGGUAAAGGCUCACCAAGGUUACGAUCUAUAGCUGGUCUGAGAGGAUGAUCAGCCACACUGGGACUGAGACACGGCCCAGACUCCUAUGGGAGGCAGCAGUGGGGAAUCUUGCGCAAUGGGCGAAAGCCUGACGCAGCCAUGCCGCGUGAAUGAUGAAGGUCUUAGGAUUGUAAAAUUCUUUUACCAGGGACGAUAAUGACGGUACCUGGAGAAAAAGCCCCGGCUAACUUCGUGCCAGCCGCCGCGGUAACAC
rnacentral:rRNA from 1 species